rnacentral:rRNA from 1 species
GACGAACGCUGGCGGCGUGCCUAAUACAUGCAAGUCGAACGCACAGUUUAUACCGUAGCUUGCUACACCAUAGACUGUGAGUUGCGAACGGGUGAGUAACGCGUAGGUAACCUGCCUGGUAGCGGGGGAUAACUAUUGGAAACGAUAGCUAAUACCGCAUAAUAUUGAUUAUUGCAUGAUAAUUGAUUGAAAGAUGCUAUUGCAUCACUACCAGAUGGACCUGCGUUGUAUUAGCUAGUAGGUGAGGUAACGGCUCACCUAGGCGACGAUACAUAGCCGACCGGAGAGGGUGAUCGGCCACACUGGGACUGAGACACGGCCCAGACUCCUACGGGAGGCAGCAGUAGGGAAUCUUCGGCAAUGGACGAAAGUCUGACCGAGCAACGCCGCGUGAGUGAAGAAGGUUUUCGGAUCGUAAAGCUCUGUUGUAAGAGAAGAACGGGUGUGAGAGUGGAAAGUUCACACUGUGACGGUAUCUUACCAGAAAGGGACGGCUAACUACGUG